GCCCAUUUCUCUUCAUUAUGGUUGGCCUCACCAAGGAGAAGCAAGAAAAAGGAAGAACAAAACCCUAGGUGGAAAAAUUCAAGGGAAAAGUGUGAAAAUUCAAGGAAACAAGUGAAAAAAAAGUAAGAUUUUUCAAUUUAAGCUUGAGAUCUCUCUUUCUUAAGCAUUUUUUUCUUAUUUUUCAUGGUUGAAUCACAUGAAAUCAUGAUGAAUUCCUUGCUGGCCGAACACUUAGAGGGAGGUUUUGAUGCUUGAUUUGGUUAGAUUUCAAUGUAUUUUAGUAUUUUUAGUUAGUUAGUGAUGUGUAGCAUGAAAAGCCAACAAGAAAAAUUCACUUCCUCCCAUCACCCAUCAUUGGCCGAAUCUUCCAUGUAGAGUGUGUAUGGUGGAUUUGAUUUUAUUUCAAGUGAAUUGGUUAGAAAAUGAUGAAUUACGGUGAGAAAAUCAAGUAAGAAAAAUCAUAGUGUUAAUGCACCUACCAUGGCCGAAAUUUCGAAGAGAAAAUGUGAAGAUGAUUUUGCUAAAUUUUAUGCUAUUUGAUAUGUGUUUGAUGGUUUGGAGAAUUGGAAGAAAAAUGGAGUUAAUUGGAGUUGAAUUGGACAUAUUGGCCAAUUAAUCGAGUGAUAGAUCGAAUUAGGCCUAUACCGUUUUAUUUAGGUACACAAUUGAAUUUGUGUAAAACACCAUGUUUAGACGAUAAUCUGAACAAUUUGCAUUCCAUUUCAUGCAUCCAUAUAGUUUUAUAACGGUUUAGCACCAAUGUGGUAAAUUACUUGAUUAUGCAUUAUGUUUAGGUGGUGAAUCCUCCGAUAAGGGUAAAGAGAUAGUACCCAAGGAUCAAGAAUCGGAGUACUCGGAACUCGAUUUCCAUUACAGUGAGUAACCUUAUUAUCGUCUUAAUUACCUGAAGUAGUUUUUAUUCAUUUUUGUGAUUUGAUAGAAAAAUGAGUUUAAAUGGUAAAUCUUUAUGUUUUAUAAGCAAAAUGUGAUUAAAUGAAAUGAUUUUAUAAAAUUGUCUUGAAAUUGAAAGAUGGUUUUGAAAAUGUAGAGAUUGGAGACUAAUUACUGUGUUAUAAAUCAUGGUUUGAAUUGAAUGGCUUAUGAUAAUAUUGGCAUGAAUGGUUGAAUUGGUAAAUGUGCUGAAAAUGUAUAAACUAUUGUUUUCCUUGAUAGGCUGGAUAAUGAUAAAACUGCCAUGUCAUGCUAUUGAAUUUUUAUUGUAUGGUGGGUUUAGCUUGCUACAAUGGACGGGUUCUGUGGACUAGCCUUUUUAAGGGGCACAAAAUCCCAUUAUAUCUUACCUUGGUUGGGGAGGCGCGUAAGGUAACUCUCGAGAUAAAACUUUAGAGUUCACUUCACGUUGAACCACCACGUGAGGGUGAACUCAGCCAACGCCAAAGAACGGCUAUGUUUUCAAAAUAAAAACAUGAUUCAUGCGUACAUGACUUUUUAACAGCCUUGACGGACUUGGUUGGGAUAGCCCUAGGCCAAGGUAUCCUUGACAACUAAGUAUGAGAAUGAUUUUGGCAUGAGCCAAGCUUUUCAGGAAAUCAUAAGCCUCGUUGUUUUUUUGGGUGAAAUAAAUCUAUUUUAUCCUAUGAAAAUGAGUUCGAAAUGCUGCGAAUCAUCUUUACGCAAAUCUAUUUUAUCUGUCUCCAUUUACUCAGCUUUAGAUAUUUUAGAUGGUAUUUGUUUACUCAUUGGGAUUAUAUAAUCUCACCACCCUCAUUUCCACCCAUUUCAGGCUCAAGAUAGUUUGUAGAUAGCUGAUAUCGUCGAAGGCUACAGUUGGCUUUACUUCCUCAAAAACUGUAGGUUCACAGCCUUCAUUACUUUUAGUCAUUU
rnacentral:lncRNA from 1 species